rnacentral:tRNA from 1 species
UAAGUAAUAGCUAAAAUAUUAAGUACUUCAUUUACGAUGAAGUGAUCAUCUAUAGGGAUGUUACUUAA